GACGAACGCUGGCGGCGCGCUUAAAACAUGCAAGUCGAACGUGAAGCCGGGGCUUGCCCCGGUGGAAAGUGGCGAACGGGUGAGUAACACGUGAGGAACGUGCCCCGGAGACCGGGAUAACCCAGGGAAACUUGGGCUAAUACCGGAUGCCUUCACCGGAUCGCAUGGUCUGGUGAAGAAAUGGAUUCCGCUCCGGGAUCGUCUCGCGGCCUAUCAGCUUGUUGGUGAGGUAAUGGCUCACCAAGGCUUCGACGGGUAGCUGGUCUGAGAGGACGAUCAGCCACACUGGGACUGAGACACGGCCCAGACUCCUACGGGAGGCAGCAGUUAGGAAUCUUGCACAAUGGGGGAAACCCUGAUGCAGCGACGCCGCGUGCGGGACGAAGGCCCUCGGGUCGUAAACCGCUUUCAGCAGGAACGAAAUUGACGGUACCUGCAGAAGAAGCCCCGGCCAACUACGUGCCAGCAGCCGCCGUAACAC
rnacentral:rRNA from 1 species